GGAUGUGAGGGGGAUCUGGCUGCGACAUCUCACACCCCAUUGGUUGCCAGAGUUGAUUCAAGCUGGCUAGGUGGGUGUCCCCUUCCUCCCUCAACGCUGCAUGUGCGUCCUUCCCAAAGCUUUGCGCUCCAUCAAAGAGGACCACCACCCCCAAUAGAACAGGAUCGCUCCUAGGUCAAGGGCAUAGGAGUAGCUGCGCCCCUCUGCUAGAACCUCUAAAAACUAAAAUGUGUGUGGGGGAGGAAGUUGCCCCUUGAAGUAACCCAUUCCUCUUCACUAUUGACCUCAACUGAG
rnacentral:snRNA from 1 species